rfam:Methanosarcina sp. MTP4, complete genome.
UUGAGCUGUAUGAGGUGAAAGUCUCACGUACAGUUCUUAGGCGAGAAAGGGGGAGCAAUCCCCCCGACUUAGCCGAC